UGACGUUCUCGGGGCGGGGUGAAAUUCCCCACCGGCGGUAAUGAUGGAUUUCGGUCCAUCUCAGCCCGCGAGCGCCUUCUUCCUUUCAGGGAGAAGGGUCAAGCAGAUCCGGUGAGAUUCCGGAGCCGACGGUCACAGUCCGGAUGAGAGAGAACGCAA
rnacentral:ncRNA from 2 species